GACGAACGCUGGCGGCAUGCCUAAUACAUGCAAGUCGAGCGAACAGAUGAAGUGCUUGCACUUCUGACGUUAGCGGCGAACGGGUGAGUAACGCGUAAGGAAUCUACCUAUAAGCGGGGGAUAACAUUCGGAAACGGGUGCUAAUACCGCAUAAUAUCUUCUUCCGCAUGGAAGAAGAUUGAAAGACGGCUCUGCUGUCACUUAUAGAUGACCUUGCGGUGCAUUAGUUAGUUGGUGGGGUAACGGCCUACCAAGACGAUGAUGCAUAGCCGACCUGGGAGGGUGAUCGGCCACAUUGGGACUGAGACAGGGCCCAAACUCCUACGGGAGGCAGCAGUAGGGAAUCUUCCGAAAUGGGCGAAAGCCUGACGGAGCAAUGCCGCGUGAGUGAAGAAGGCCUUCGGGUCGUAAAACUCUGUUAUAAGAGAAGAACAAAUUGUAGAGUAACUGCUACAGUCUUGACGGUAUCUUAUCAGAAAGCCACGGCUAACUACGUGCCAGCCGCCGCAGUAA
rnacentral:rRNA from 1 species